rnacentral:rRNA from 1 species
UGGGGAAUAUUGGGCGAUGGGCGCAAGCCUGACCCAGCAACGCCGCGUGAGGGAAGAAGGUCUUCGGAUUGUAAACCUCUGUCCUUGGGGACGAAAGAAAUGACGGUACCCAAGGAGGAAGCUCCGGCUAACUACGUGCCAGCAGCCGCGGUAAUACGUAGGGAGCGAGCGUUGUCCGGAAUUACUGGGCGUAAAGGGUGCGUAGGCGGCGGUGCAAGUCAGAUGUGAAAUCCCCGGGCUUAACCCGGGGGGUGCAUUUGAAACUGCAUUGCUUGAGUGCAGGAGAGGAAAGCGGAAUUCCUAGUGUAGCGGUGAAAUGCGUAGAUAUUAGGAGGAACACCAGUGGCGAAGGCGGCUUUCUGGACUGUAACUGACGCUGAGGCACGAAAGCGUGGGGAGCAAACAG